rnacentral:rRNA from 1 species
UACGGAGGGUGCAAGCGUUGUCCGGAUUUAUUGGGUUAAAGGGUGCGUAGGCGGCUCUUUAAGUCAGCGGUGAAAGUCCAGAGCUUAACUCUGGGAUUGCCAUUGAUACUGAAGAGCUUGAGUAUAGUUGAGGUAGGCGGAAUUGACAGUGUAGCGGUGAAAUGCAUAGAUAUUGUCAAGAACACCGAUUGCGUAGGCAGCUUAC